CUCCGUAAUGUUGGCAACAGUGGGGAAUUUUGCACAAUGGGCGAAAGCCUGAUGCAGAAACGCCGCGGGAGGGAAGACGGCCUUCGGGUUGUAAACCUCUUUCAGGAGGGAAGAAGGGAAAGUGACGGUCCCUGCAGAAGAAACCCCGGCUAAAUACGUGCCAGCAGCCGCGGUAAUAAGUAGGGGGCCAAGCGUUUUUCGGAAAUAUUGGGGGGAAAAAGGUGGUCGGGGGUUUGUCGAAUUUGCAGUGAAAAUCCCGGGGCUCAACUCCGGGUGUGCGGUGGGUAAGGGCAGAAUAGAGGGGCGUAGGGGAGAAGGGAAUUCCCGGUGUAGCGGUGAAAUGCGCAGAAAUCAGGGGGAACCCCCAGGGGGAAGGCAGGUCUUCUGGCCUUUAAACUGACGGUGAGGAGGGAAAAGAGGGGGGGGCAACCAGGAUAAAAUACCCGGGUGGUCCAUCCCGUUAAAGGUUGGGCAGUAGGUGUGGGGGGCAUUCCACCCUUUCCAGUGCCGCAGCUAACGCAUUA
rnacentral:rRNA from 1 species